rnacentral:rRNA from 1 species
AGUGAACGCUGGCGGUAGGCCUAACACAUGCAAGUCGAACGGCAGCACAGUAAGAGCUUGCUCUUACGGGUGGCGAGUGGCGGACGGGUGAGGAAUACAUCGGAAUCUACUUUUUCGUGGGGGAUAACGUAGGGAAACUUACGCUCAUACCGCAUACGCCCUACGGGUGAAAGCAGGGGAUCUUCGGACCUUGCGCGAUUGAAUGAGCCGCUGUCGGAUUAGCUAGUUGGCGGGGUAAAGGCCCACCAAGGCGACGAUCCGUAGCUGGUCUGAGAGGAUGAUCAGCCACACUGGAACGGAGACACGGUCCAGACUCCUACGGGAGGCAGCAGUGGGGAAUAUUGGACAAUGGGCGCAAGCCUGAUCCAGCCAUACCGCGUGGGUGAAGAAGGCCUUCGGGUUGUAAAGCCCUUUUGUUGGGAAAGAAAAGCAGCAGGUUAAUACCCCGCUGUUCUGACGGUACCCAAAGAAUAAGCACCGGCUAACUUCGUG